rnacentral:misc_RNA from 1 species
GUCCACAGUCAGAAAAGGUACUCUGAUUUACCAUAAUUGAUAUAUAUAUAUCAUCCAAAUAAAUAACUUUAUUAAGUUUAAGGUUCACCCCGCAAGAUGGACUGAAGUUGCAAAUAUUAAGAGUGUGGGGUUUCAUUUUUGGUUCAAAAUUUAUUUAGAAAUUAAAAUCGAAUUCAAAUUUUGGUAUAACUUUAGUUUCAAUUUUGGUUUGAUUUUUCAAUAUUGUGAUUUUAAUUCCUAUUUAACCACAAGAAACA